rnacentral:lncRNA from 1 species
AAAGGCAGGGGAAACGUGAUAUGUCAGUAUGAAACCAAAGGGCAAUUAAGGGUGGGCCUGUGUACAUAAUUUAAUAAAUUUUUCUUGGCUUUCAAGAACUUCAGUCAUUGCCAUGUCAAUUCAGAAAGAGAAGAAAAAUACAAAUGAAGAAAACUUACUAUGAAAAGUUUGCCAAUUACAAUUCUCUUUGAUUGAACAGCAAGACUGAACUGAUAAGGAUGUAAGCAGAAACCAAAUUUAUUCUUUUCUGCUAGUCCUUGUUAAAACCUAACCCUAAGUAAAUACACUUAUUUUGCCAAAUAAUCUUUUUUUUCCUUUUGCCCCUGGGUGAAAUCAGGUGUAUCACAAAGUGUUUAUAAACUUUAUUUUGGAAAAAAAUUUCCAAAAUUUCUCUAUUUCCUUCUAGACUCAAAAAUGGUUUUAUUCAGGUUAUGAUGUCCCUAACAGGGAAUUAAUCACAUGAUUUCUUGGGUGGGCUUCAGAAAAGCUGGGAGAAGUGAUAGUUUUUAGUCUGUUUCAUUCCUUUCUUCCUUCCCUACACUUCUUCUUUUUUUUUUUUUUUUUAAGAUUAUUUAUUUAUUUAUUCAUGAGACACAGGCAGAAAUAUAGGCAGAGAGAGAAGCAGGUUCCCCACAGGGAGCUCUGAUGCAGGACUUAAUCCCAGGACCCUAGGAUCACGCCCUGAGCCUAAGGCAGAUGCUAAACUGCUGAGUCACCCAGGUGUCCUGUCUUCCUUCCCUACACUUCUCUGCAAGGAGAGGCAUUUAGGGGAAAGAGGCUCAAGCUUAGGUGGGAGUCACAGUUAAAAUCUGUCCUUGGUUUUCUCUUAGCUGGAACAUGUACAGACAAGCUCAUGAGAUAUUCUGGGUUUCCUAAACCAUUUCUGCUGUGGGACUCUUGACUGUAGGUUCCUUGGGGCAGGUUCUUUCUUCCAAGUCUUUCAAAUUGGGCACAGACCACCCAAUCCCUUGGCUUAUACGUAUGAACUCUGCACAGAUUUUCUUUGUUGGGAUCUCUUUAUCCCUUUGGGUGAUCUUUUGGGAUAAUGUCCCCUUUAACAUGGAUUUAGAGGAGUCCUUCUCUUGGACCAAGCAAAAACUCAUAUAUUCUUUCUUUCUUACAGAUGGAAGGGCAGCAGUCUACCAGUGUAGCUCUGAUUCUCUUUGCUACCCAAGACAAAACUUCAAGAGGUCUGAACUAAUGAAGACACCCAAGCCAGUAGCAUUUCUAGCACUCCUUGAAAACUGAGACUUCACAUGCAA